ensembl:snoRNA
CGCAGCUACGUUGAAUUAGGCACCCACCCCACCCAUGGCCAGUGCUGGCCCAGAGGCUGUCGCAGAAACACUGUGACUCAUGGGCCCUGGGACCCUCCUGGACUUGGGGAUAAAUCUGGUCACAGACACCA